rnacentral:lncRNA from 1 species
CAGAGACGAGAUGACUUGAAUAGGAAAAAAAAAAAGCUCUAACAACUGGAGGCUCUGAAACGGCUUCUGGAAGGCACGAGGCUUUUCAGUAGGGUAUGCGGGAGGAGCCCUUCAUGGUUUAUUUUAUACCGGCGAAAGCAGGACUUCUGGGCACAUCAUCCAGUCUUUGAGAAAUGUUUAGACCAGAGAUGCCUGCUACUGGCAGUGCUUUGUGCCCGGAAUAGGGGAUCUGAGGGUCUUGGGCUGUCCACCUCAGCUCCACUGCACAAUAGAACCCAAGAGUUGGCCCCCCUUCGUGGAAUCAGAGAGCUACAACCUAGAUGAGCAACUGGACUGUGAGGGAAGGAGUCUUGGGCUGAUGAGAUGGCACAGUGUGUAA